AUCAGUUCCGGAAGUCGUCUGCUGCGUCUUACUACAGUCACGUGAUAUCGACGCUGGAACUAUUUUGGGUGAGAAAACGCCGAGGAGUCUUCACGUGAACUUCGAGGCAGCAACACGGCAAUCGGCACCGGUGUGAGUGACAGACAAGCUUGAUGAUGCGACCGUGGUUGUUAGCCCUGUUCCUCAUGAUUGUAGGAGGGGCCUACUUGGUGCGCGCGCAGGAGGAGGUGCAACCGGAACCCUCCUCCACCGCCGAGCCGGAACCAGCAAACAAUGCCACCGAACCCGAACCGGAAUCGACGCCUGAGACGGUUGCCGAGACAACACCAAGCUCCACCACCCAGGCGUGUUUACACAUGCUCAGCUUUGUCGUAGUCUUCGUUGUCAUGGUGAUGGUACAGUAAACCAUCUCAGCAGCUAUGUCAUCGCUUCCUAUGUGAAACAUAUCGCAAAUAAUGUCCUUGCUCAUCGAGGGGAGUGACAAUUUCGGAACAGUUAUGGCGUCAUAGGAAGACAUCCCAAGAUGUCAGAGACGUCACGUGACCUGAUCCGACCUUGAACUCUGACCUCCGAGGAAUAUCAUUCAUCUUGCGCGACCAUCAUGAAGAUCAUGCAGCCAUUCCUUGUCAUCACGAUAUAUCCUGUCAUGUUGAUGUUUUAGCGUAUGAUCGCCCACGUGCCUUUACUUGACGACAUCCACAGGCGAUAGAUAUAGGUGCCAUUCCUCAAGUGUAAAUGUUUCCUGUAAUCUGUGUUUAACUUAUUGUCCAGGCGUCGUGUUUGUCAAUUGUUGUGUAUGUGCUGUCAAUGUCACAUGUGCUUGUAGUAGAAGAUCCCAUCAACCUGGCCCCAGCAGGAACCAUGUGUUCACAUGUAAAAAUAUGUAUACAUCUUUUAGAUACUUAAUAAACGCAGCUCCUGUGAACCUUU